UACAGAGGGGGCAAGCGUUAUUCGGAAUUAUUGGGCGUAAAGGGCGCGUAGGCGGCUUGGCAAGUGGAUGGUGAAAUCCCUCGGCUUAACCGAGGAACGGCCGUCCAAACUGCUUCGCUUGAGACCGGGAGAGGUGAGUGGAAUUCCCAGUGUAGCGGUGAAAUGCGUAGAUAUUGGGAGGAACACCAGUGGCGAAGGCGGCUCACUGGACCGGUACUGACGCUGAAGCGCGAAAGCCAGGGGAGCAAAGCGGG
rnacentral:rRNA from 1 species